GACUAUCGUCUUCGGCAGGGUUUCGAAGGGGAAGCCGGCGAAGGACGGCAGAUGGAGCUAGUGUGGGUAGUAAGUCGCUGCGAAGACGGGCUAAGGAGGAUGCAACGGCUGAUUCGGGAG
rnacentral:ribozyme from 1 species